GCCCCUUCCUUCCGUUUUUCCUAGUGUGUCUGCACAUUUUCCCUUACCUGUUAUUACCCUUCCCCCUCCCAUUAAAAGUGUACCACGUGGGACCACCGCGUGUCUGUGUCUUUCCUCGCGUAACCCUCGUCUAACCCGCAGGAAUUAAGAACAACAGUAUCUAUCCGUCUCUCACCUGCUGCGGUCUCCCACCCACCAAGGGAAUCGGCUGAGCUCUCAGCUGAAAAUGGCUGGAGUUCUACACCCAACAUCAAAUGGUAGGUUCUGGCCAUGCCUCCAUGAGUGUGCAAUCGCUCAACAGUGGUUCUCCCGCAUGGAAACGGCCCAGUACUGGUCAGCCGCUUGCCAAUCGGGCUUAAAGCCCCUUCCUUGGGCCUCCAACUCCAUGUGACCACGUAGGGGUUUGGUUUGUAUCCACCCAUUCUCACGGCCCUGGGACUUUGAGUGACGACUCAAAGCUCAGCUUCCGGGACACUGGAGUUCCAUCUCUGGAUCUUCGCGCCUUACUCAUGGAGACUGCACCACCCGCCCUCGGAUAUCAAGCUACAUAGCUCCCUAUCAUCGGCUUACAUUCUGGUCGUGAUUGUUAGCUGAAAAUGCAGCCUACUUUUUCUGUUUUACUAUCUGCUUUUCGUUCCCGGCACGGUAAUCACACCCAUGCUAAACUGUCCGGUUGCUGCCCACCGGAACCCCUCCGUCUAGUGGGCUCAGCUACAGUUCCCGGUUCUCAACUUGGCAGUAGCUCUGUUUCUACCACUGCUGCCCUGGAUUCUACCAGCCCACUUCCCAACUUUCCAUCAGUCCACUGGGACAAUUGGUGAGACUGUUCCCUUUAUGGCCUAGUGUCUCUGGUGUGACUGCCAUUUCUUGUGCCCCGUUAUCUUGUGGAUGAAUGGAUAAUGGCCCAAGCUGGUUGUUUAUUUUUCCUCCUCACCCGUGGGAAACAGGCUGACAUUUCUAACUUCUACCAGCAUUUGGCUAAAUUUAAAGAA